AUUAUUAAUUUAUAAUACAGGAAGUAAUUUUCUACAGCAGCUAAAUUGCUCAUAACAAACUAAAUACUAUACUUAAAGAUACAUAAAAGGUAAAUUAUUUUAUGGUAGUUAUAGGGUCUGAGGUAUAUUGUCUCAUUUUCACAGCAAUUGCUUGCAUGUAAGUACUGAACAAAACUGUCUCUGAAGUAGUCACUUUGGAUAAGCAGAGAGGGGUCCUGGCUAGUGAGGUUAAGUAGAGGUUAUCUGAGUUUGGAUUCUUAGGGGUUUUUUGGAUACUUCGGGUUUUUUUUAAAUUUGGAUACUUAGGGUUUUUUUUAAAUGCUGAUUUAAUACAGAUAGUCCAGUUGUUCUAAGCAAAAUUAAACAGAAUACACCAUAGGAGAUUAGUAUCAUUAAAUAAAAAUCAGUACUUUAAGGUAAAGUUUGACGAUAAGAAUCUUGCUACUUUACCAGUCUGUCUGACAAGAGGGGUGGCCACAUUCUGGAUCACGGUGCACUUUUUUCCCUAGUUGGUUUGUCAAGGGCCCAGUCAAUAGAGCAGGAUGAUGAAACUGUUGAUUCAUCAACUGAAAUGGUAUCUCAGAUCAUAGCAAGCACUAGAUAAUCCAGGUAGCAUGGGCUGUAAUCCUCGGUGUGUGAACAAAGACACCUCUUUGUGAUGCUGCCUCUUUACUGGACCAGCUCUAGCAUGACUAAGUCAGACACUUAAGGGCGAGUAUGAGAGCUAGGGAUCAUUUUACACUUCUGUCUCCUCCUGCCUCUUUCCCUUACCAUCCUCUGAAUUUCUGCAAUAUGGCUGUGCAUUAAGGCAAGUUAUUCACCAUUUUGAGGGAGUGAACUUCAUUGUUGCUACUUGCUUGCUCUCUCGGGCAGCUAUCUACAAACCUAAUUAGCUGUUAGAACAGCACUUAAAUUAAUAUACCUUAUUACCCAGCCUAUGCUGAAAUAAGCAUUAUCAAGUUAAGCACUUGUACCAGCCUUAAUGCAUCAGCACUAGGAAGUAAUCUUGCUUUGUAAUAGCAUAAUUUUAUGCGCAGACAAGAAUUAAGCAUGAGUGUUUUACAAUACUCCUGAAAUCUGAUUAAGCUAAAUACUGUAAUGUGAAGUUUGCUGUUGAAUGAACUCAAAUCAAAUCUGUAAACACACCCACUGUCUCUCUUAAUUCUCUUCCCUGCUGCUGUAACUCAAAUUGUUUUUUGCUUCUGUCCUACAGUCAGCAGAUCAUCUGCCCAAGGAUACUUACAUUAUAAAGCUCCUGUUCUUAACAGUAUUUGGUGGUCAUGUUAAAAAAGCAAUUGUGCUUCAGCUCUGACUCCAGCAAAAUAGUUAGAAGGGACUGCCCUCUUUGACCUGCAUCUCUACCACUGCAGCUCUGCUCUCCGGGACCCUGUGUAAGCCCUGCUUCUCCUAGACUCCUGCUUCUUCCUACGUGUGCUUUGGCUUCAGCUGUCUUUGGGGGAGGUGGUGGGUGUGCGUAGAUGUAUGCUGGAUAGUCACUGACUGCCCACAUGGCCAAGCAAAAUCCUUGUUGCAAUGCUGCUUCUAGCAUGUCCCGGCUGAACCACUGCACUUCAUGCUUUCAGCAUGGGAGAAUGUACGUGCUUCAGUUUCUGCUGCAUUUUCUCUUUCUGGUCACAGAGAAGCAACAUUGGUGCUGAAUAACCAUUACAAAGUUUGCUGGUGGAACAACAUGCAGUAUUGUCUUGCAGGUGAUGCUGCACUAUUUUAGCAAAUUUGCUUGUAACAGCCCAGAGUUUAAAGUCUAUUAAGAGUAAAUCCACAGUUUUCUAUUUUAGCUAUAAAGAAAGAAGAGAUCCAUGCAAAGGAAAAAAAGAAUGAGGAAACCUUAUUAGUUACCUUUCAACUCAGCCAUAAAGACAGCCCUGGCUUCCACCCUUAUUUCAGAAAAAUCUCUAUCCUGGACCAUAUUCCAAACACCUUAAAGUUUAAUAUGGUAACUUAAAAGUUGCUAGUCCAAGCUAUGAAUCUUGUAAUCAGGCGUAUCUCAUGAUAGUUCACCCUUGUAUUGUUUUGUUCUACUACUGUCAGUUACUGGUAAUUUGCCUGGGUACUGGAAAUUGGGAUUUGUAUUCACUGCCCAAGAAUCCUGCCUGUGCAUGAAGGAGCAGGGGCAGAGCAGUCAGUACCUCUCACCUUCUCCACGUAACAGCACCAUAAAUGGACGAUACUGCUGCAGUGCUAUCAUGCCAAGACAGAUUAUAAACUUCACUAAAGACUUAUUCAAACAGGACUAAUUUUUUUUUUUCUAGGAUUAUAAAGAACAAGAAGCAGAAAUGGUUAAAUUAGCCACAAACACAAGGUCAAGCAGCAAUUCUGGAGUCAGAUUAGCAUCAGAAAGCUGGAGCCAUCUGGACUUCGAGCUUAGAGCAGGCUCUGAUGUUUUUCCAUGUGUACCACUUUCCUCAGUCAUAUAGAAACAGUCUUUGAAUUUGUAUCUCUACUAAAGCUUUCUCUUUUCCUCAAGUGAAUCCCUGGUGGAAAAAUAAACUAAGGCUGAAUUCAUUUUAAGUCAAGAGCAAGACUUCAAAGGAAACUUUGGCAAAGGAGAUUCAAAAGAGAAAAACAGGGUGGAAACAGGGUUGGCAUAAGAGGACACAAGCUUCUCUGAUAGUCAUCUGGAAAGGCUUGGGCACAGUAACUUUUGGUGACCAUGCUUUCUGUUUCUUCCAUAUCAUUCUGAAGGCUGGUAAGCUUGGUAAGCUGUGUUUG